rnacentral:lncRNA from 1 species
CAUCCUGGCACAGCUUCAUUUUUACAUCAAAGCAACUUUUUGUUUGUUUUUGUCAUAAGCAAGUGGAUUGAAACAACUUCAGUCAAGUCACAAACAAGUGGAUUUAAAGUUCUUUCAAACCCAUACACAACACAAGGGAGCCUAAUUUUGUUAAAAACAGAAGGCACUAAUGAGGCAUUAAAUAAUCAACAUUUUGCAAGAAUCAGUCAUUCCAAAGCAAGUGCACAUCUUUACUUUGUGAAUGAAGGAUUGUUCCCAUUAAGCCAGAAGGCCCCAAAUGCUUAA